UACGUAGGGGGCAAGCGUUGUCCGGAAUCAUUGGGCGUAAAGCGCGCGUAGGCGGCCCGGUAAGUCCGCUGUGAAAGUCAAAGGCUCAACCUUUGAAUGUCAGCGGAUACUGCCGGGCUAGAGUCCGGAAGAGGCGAGUGGAACUCCUGGUGUAGCGGUGGAAUGCGCAGAUAUCUGGAGGAACACCGGUGGCGAAGGCGACAUCCUGGACCGGUAUUGACGCUGAGGCGCGAAAGCCAGGGGAGCAAACGGG
rnacentral:rRNA from 1 species